UACAGAGGGUGCAAGCGUUAAUCGGAGUUACUGGGCGUAAAGGGCACGUAGGCGGUUAUGUAAGUCAGUUGUGAAAUCCCCGGGCUUAACCUGGGAACUGCAAUUGAUACUGUGUGACUAGAGUCGAAGAGAGGGAAGCGGAAUUUCCGGUGUAGCGGUGAAAUGCGUAGAUAUCGGAAGGAACAUCUGUGGCGAAGGCGGCUUCCUGGCUUCAGACUGACGCUGAGGUGCGAAAGCGUGGGUAGCGAACAGGAUUAGAUACCCUGGUAGUCCACGCUGUAAACGAUGAGUACUAGCUGUUGGAAGGCUAAGACCUUUCAGUAGCGGAGCUAACGCAUUAAGUACUCCGCCUGGGGAAUACGGCCGCAAGGCUA
rnacentral:rRNA from 1 species